rnacentral:lncRNA from 1 species
GAUGUACAUCAUCAAACAGGACCUCACCAGACCCCUCUGGCCUCCCGAAGUAGGAGAAAAAUCUCAGCAGUGAGGAGAAAUGGCCUGGGAGAGGCAGCAAGAGCCCCAGUGCCAGGGGUGCUCUCGGAGGAGGUAGAGGGAGUUUCUGAAAGGCAGCCUUUCUCCUUAUCCUUGACACAGUGGUGGCAUCACCGCAUCCCCUUUCUUCCCCACAGGAGCAUGCUGUGGAGGCCUGGGGGCAUGAGGCUGGCAGCAGUACAGACCCAGGUGGGCCCUGGGACACCCUCUGCAUUGUAGCACCUCAGUGCGAGGUGUAUGUGAGCGUGGGCUCCACGGACAGGACUGAGCGCUGGGACGAGAGCUGGGCAUAUCCCCUGCUCAGCCCCAGAGCAGAGGGCGAGCACAGAGAAAACAGUACCGAGCCCAGCACCGACCUCAGGACCUGUGCCGAAACCAACUCCGCACUCACCAGGGACAAGGAAAUGACCAGGCUGUUGGACAGCGUUCUGGGAUCAGGCAAGCGAGACAUGAUGAACUACACAGGCCACAAGGAAGAGGUGCGGACGCGAGCCCUGCAGGCAGACAGAGCCAGGUGGGGUCAGCCCAUUCCCUCUGCACCCUGGACAAGAACAGAGUCCCAGAGCUUUAGGAAAGAAAUCUGCCCUCUGAAAGCAGGUACAUUUGGUUUGCUCCCAUGCUAGAU